AUUCUGCUUUGGAAUUAAUUCAGCUCUCCAGCACAUGCAUAGCAGCUUUCUCAGCUUCCAUCACCCCAAGGACCUUCACAAACUACGAAGUACUGUUGAAGUGUAAUCGCAGCUGCAAGACUGGUGUUGAGUAUUAGAAAUAAGAGUCUCGGUCCAAAACAUUGGAACUUUUCCUCUCCACAGAUGCUGCCUGACCUGCUGUGUGAUCCUCAGACACUUCAGCAUUUGGUGGAAAGCAAUCAAGAUGGUGGAAUACUGCAUAAUACCCCAAAGGACAUCAUGAGGAUCAUGUUUCUUGCUUUGUGGCUACCUGUAAGCAAACAAAUCUCAAGGUUGUCUAAUUUAUACAUUCUUUGAUAAUAAAUAUACUUUGAACUUUGAAUUGUGGGUGGAGUGAGAGGGGAGUUGGGGUAACUGGGGUAGAGGAUCCUGCUGACAGAAAAACAUGCAUUUCUGCAACGUAACAAAAUGACAGGAACAUACAUUCUAUCUCUUUUAUAUUGUGUUUGCUUAACCUUUACAUUGAAACCUGAAACCACAUAGAUAAGAAGAACUGGUUCCAGAGAUCAUGGCCAUUGGGAGUGUGAGAGUGUGAAUGUAUUCUUGCCUGACGUAAGAACGUUAAUGAACUGAUUCUGUCGUGAAUGAUGAGGU